rnacentral:ncRNA from 1 species
AUCGAUAGAGGCGCAUAAUUCAUUAAACUUAUUAGUGGAUGCAAACAGAAUAAGUGUAGGGGAGUAUGCCGAAGAAUUAAAUUGUUGCAUCAAUUUAAUAUCUGGGGUUAUAGAGAACAUCUAUAAGACUGUCAUUAUCAAAAGAUAAUGUUGUGCUAUCA